rnacentral:snRNA from 1 species
AAUAAUAGCAAACUGAGCCUG